rnacentral:rRNA from 1 species
GCUUACGGCCAUACCACCCUGAGCACGCCCGAUCUCGUCCGAUCUCGGAAGCUAAGCAGGGUCGGGCCUGGUUAGUACUUAGAUGGGAGACCGCCUGGGAAUACCAAGUGCUGUAAGCU